ensembl:lncRNA
GGAGCCCAGGUGGCCCGGGUUCCCGGGUCGGGGCUGAGGACCUGUGUGGCGAGCCAGGCUAGUCUGGGGCGCGCGGCUAGGCGGCGAGGGUAGGGUGGAGGGAACCUGGAGACUCAGUUGCUGCUGCUUCCUUAGCGUAGUUCCCGUAGUUCAAACUCCGUGGGGGGCAGGGUAGGGACUACGGGCGUUUUCUGUCUCCGAGGACGCUAAGUCUCCGCAGGAGACACUGGAUCUGGGGGCGCCGCCCUCAGUGCCCCCGCCUUCGGGGGACUGGCCGCCCUCGAAACUCCCAGGAGCGCUUGGCCAGCUCCGGGCCGAGAACUCAGUGCCAGGAAAAGCUUUGCCUCUCCCAAGGAACUGGCAUGAUUUUUCUUUGUGGGCUGCUGAGAACCAGCCCUCGACCUCUGCUUGAGGGUCCUUCCUCUGAAGACAUCACCAGCGUGUGGAGCCUGCCCCACACCCACCCCCUGCCAAACCACGGCCUUUACCUGUGUCUUCCGGUGUUUCCCGUGCGACCCAUCCUGUGGGAGUGCCUCGUGGGCUGCCCCGGAGUUCACCCCACGCUCAGCAGCACCAAUGGUGAAGAUGACAAGAUCCAAGACUUUCCAGGCAUAUCUGCCCUCAUGCCACCGGACCUACAGCUGCAUUCACUGCAGAGCCCACUUGGCCAAUCAUGAUGAACUUAUUUCCAAGUCGUUCCAAGGAAGUCAAGGACGAGCAUACCUCUUUAACUCAGUAGUGAACGUGGGCUGCGGGCCUGCGGAGGAGCGCGUGUUGCUAACAGGACUGCACGCCGUCGCCGACAUUUACUGUGAAAACUGCAAAACCACUCUGGGCUGGAAAUAUGAACAUGCCUUUGAAAGCAGCCAGAAAUAUAAAGAAGGCAAAUACAUCAUUGAGCUAGCACACAUGAUCAAGGACAAUGGCUGGGACUGACCGGAGAGCAUCUGCCCAACCCCGUGUCCACGUGAACGCCAUCCAACUGAACAUUCUACCCAAGCGUGAGAGAGUGACUGAACACUUGGUUCCAUCCAUUUAGGGGCCUUGCCAUCGGGGGCAUUCUCCCACCCUGACGCCAUCUUGCUGGUGACCGGCCUCUAAAUCGCUGUCUCUCUGUCUCUUUGCUUUGUCUCUGUUUGUGAGUUGAUCCUGGCUUCUCUCUCUGUUCUAGUGUUAGCUGAAAACAAAACAACGAAAGGAACAGAUGCCUGCCCGCACGGUGGCAGCCCCCUUGGACGAGGGCCCCAGGGCCUGGGAAGAGCCGCCUGGUGGCCUCUUGUCAGGAGAGCAGUGGCACAGCACGGGGGUGUGAGGAAGAGGGGGACCGCGAGGGGCCCAGGUGGGUAGGGGAUGGGAGAGGGUCGCGCGAGGGACAAACGUGUGCUGCUCCUGGACACCUGGUAACUUAGGCUUGAAAUGGUCGACUUGUCUAAAAGGACAACGAGAAAAAGCAAACGAAAAAAAAUACCUCAUGACUGCAUUCUCUCUGAUCAGAAGCUUCCGUUCCUGACACCCAGUGUGCCAGGUUCGCACAUGAGCACAAGGAGGGGCCCUAAUUCUGGAUGGCGGGGCAGGGGUCUGCCUCUCCCGGUCCAAGCUGCGGCGCGUCCUGGGAGGGGCCCAGAUGGUGUCGAUGACCCUGACGCUUCCCUGCUCCUCCGGGUCAUCUUCUUUGCCUCUCCAGCCGCUGUAGGUGACAGGAGAGGGGACUGCCACGUGCAGUGGGUGCAAGAUCCCGAUCUCCCAAAGGCUUUGACCCGCCCCCAAGGGAAAUCAAUAAUCAAGGAGACCAGGGAACAAAGCAGGAGGGGGGUGGGGGGGGGCCAUUUGGGAGCUCCCUCGGAAGUGGCUCGGAAAACGGGCCAGAGGAAAGAAAAGGUAGAGCCCAUCAGGAAUUUGGACUUCUCCUCCCUGAACCUUAAGAGAAGAGCACUGUGGCAAGAAAGGGGGGCGGGCCGGGGGCAGUGCCAGGAACCGUCUAGGUUGGAACCAUUACAGGUUAGGCGCGUCUCUCUUCUUUGGCAUGCGGUGGUUUCACGGAGAUCCGCAGUUCCUUGUACAUAGAGCUUGGGGUGCUUUUCUCCAUCCGUGCAGAUUGUGGAAAACCAGGUCCCAAAGCUUCCAGCUGAGUGCGCCCCCUGGCCGGUCAAUUUCUCGUGCCCUGAGCGGUUCUCCUUGUACUUGGAUGUUGUGUGUGGAGGGACGUCUGUCCGUGUGGUUCAGCGAUAGGGAGGCUUAGCUUUGAUGUCCUUUGGCAAGUUAUGAAUUCCAGUGUUACACCCCCUCAUCCAAAGUUCAUGCUAUUAGGGAAGGGGACAGCAGGUCCCCGAAAGGCUCAGGAGCGAGAGAGGAGUUUGUUACGUUUAAUCAACACUGUGAAGUCUGUUCUACAGCAAUUUAGCCAGUACGCAGGGCAUGACCGAAGCUCAUUUAACGGAGUUCAUUUCACUGCGCAGACCGAAAAUAUUAUUAUGACUAAGAUAGGUGUAGGUUAUGUUAGGUAAUUCUCAGCUUCUCUUUCUCCAGAUAGGCUGAUUCCCCUAGGAAAACUCUCCUGAAAAAGUCACAAAAGAGUGAGUUCACAGAUGAGAAUCGGUGAAAAUUCUCAACCGAGAUGAAAGCAGCCAAUCCAGGACAUUUUCAGAAUUGAACCAAAGUCCCAGAGGGAGCGAGACUGUUGUGGCAGGGCGUUUUUGUGUCUCUGUGUGCUGCCGGGUGUUGGGCAGAGGGGCCUGGCACAGUAUGGUCCUGCCCUGGCAGAGCCGGGCCGCAGGACUGUUGGGAAGCUGGGGAGCCCCAGGUUCAGCCGUGGACAGCCUCUGUAAGACAAAGCGUUCUUAAAAGAACCGAAGUUUGUUCCCAAAGGCUUCUUACCCACAUCUUCCAGUGCUUUCCUAGCCCUGGGGGAUUAAAUGUUCUCCCCACAUUACAAAAAAGCAGACUGAGGUUCCCAGGAUCCCAGAGAUAUGGUUGCCAGGCCCAAGAUCUCGAUAAGAAACAUUUUCAACUUUCACAUUCCUAAGCUGGCUUGCCAGCACAGAAAUCACAGGCUCCCUUCUCCAUCCCAGCCCUGAAGGUAGUGGCCCUCAUUUCUGAUUAGCCCCUUGACUCAGGGAAUGUCCUGGCUAUUGGUAAUCCUUUCCCUACAAAGAAAACAUGGAUAGGCAUGGAAAAAGGGAGUGUGGUGACCUAGAAAUCUGGACCUGAAGUGCCCUGAAUUUUCAAGGGGCAGAGGAGACCGAAGCGCCACUGUUCUUCCAUGGGGAUGGGGCCUCUGACUGUCGGCAUGGAUCAGAGCAGGCUCCAAUUAGACCCUGGUUCUGGUGGGUUUUUUCCAACGUCUAUCCAUCGAGCAUCCAUUGGGUACAUGGCGCCAUACUUGGUGCAGGAGAUCUGAGCAGGAUGUUGGUACUCCCGUAACUACAGGGGAAAAAAAAGAUUAGGCUUUUUCCCUUUGUGUCAAUGAAACCAAAAGUGCUUCUUAAAACUUUAGCUCCAUUCAUGGCUUGUCUCACCUCAGUCUAGUAUGGGAGAGACCACAGCUGAGCGAUGGCGAAACAGCCACUCAAGGCCUCAGUCAGUUCUUGUUUUAAUUUCCUCACCAAAUUACUGACUCAGAGCAUAACCAAAGACCUCAUCCAUUCACCCCUGGUGGGUUCUUCGGGGAAUUGAAGGUCGGUGGUAUCAAUUAGGCGGGGCACCGGGAGCAGAGAAGCGAGGAAGGGAGAGACGUGCAUGAAGUUCUAUACCUCAGCCAGCAACUGCCUUCACUUUCAACUCAAGUCCAGCCGGCAGACUCUAGUUCUAUGUCCCCCGUGCCACCCUAGGGCCUUGGCGGCUCUGGAUUACACCCAACCCCGCAGGAUGCUAGUCUCAGGCUACUGAUGGGUUUGAUUUGACAAUACAUCAAACACAGCCAGGCUUGACUGCCAGAUUGUCAGCUGGGCCUGACCGAGGGCUUCUCCAGCUCCUCCAGUAAGAUCCCUAAGAUAGGAUAGAGGAAAUCUGGACUGGUGGGUCCGUGUAUGAAAGAGACGUGUCCCCUUUAGAAAAAGAUUUUCAAGCGGAUAUAGAAGAAACAGUUGCUUGUGAAAUAUACUUUUGUAAAUAAUAUUUAAUUUUUUAAAAUAAUAUAUUUGGUGCUGUUUUCUCAGAUCCCCUGAGAGCACUUUUUAUUUUCAUUUUUAAAAUUCUAUGGUUUCCUCUGCAUUUCUUGAAGUAUAUUUUAAGGGAAUCAGUGAUCACCAAUAUACUCUUUAAAAGAAAAAAAAAAAA